rnacentral:misc_RNA from 1 species
AAGUCGUAACAAGGUAACCGUAGGUGAACCUGCGGUUGGAUCAUUAGAGUAGUUUGAAAGGGAAGAAUUUGCAUAGUUUUUAAUUGUGCAAGCUUCCUCCCUUUUCUAAACAUAUUCCCCUAAUUGUACAUGUUUCCUGUUUUAUUAGACAGUCCGGCAAUUUGUAAUUGUUGGGCUGGCUAAUUGUGACUAACGCUUAUUAUCUUGUGUAAUUUUUUUUUUGCAUGCAAUGUUUCCAUUCAUAUUGUUGUUUGGUUUCUUGCAUUUUUUUAUUAAUGAAUACAACUUUAGACAAUGGAUCUCUUGGCUCUC